rnacentral:rRNA from 1 species
GACGUAGGGUCCAAGCGUUGUCCGGAUUUACUGGGCGUAAAGAGCGCGUAGGCGGUCUGUUAAGUGUAGAGUGAAAUCUCCAGGGCUCAACCCGGAAACUGCUCUGCAUACUGGCAGACUUGAGGAAUGCAGAGGUUUGUGGAAUUCCUGGUGUAGCGGUGAAAUGCGUUGAUAUCAGGAGGAACACCCAUGGCGAAGGCAGCAAACUGGGCAUUAUCUGACGCUGAGGCGCGAAAGCGUGGGUAGCAAACAGG